rnacentral:rRNA from 1 species
ACAGCCGGUUCAUAUUCCGGCCCCACCUAAAUUCGUUUGAGCGAUGGAGUGACACAGGAGGGUAGACCUAGCUGGCGUUGGAGUUGCUAGCGCUAAGCGUGUAGGGUUGUCCGUUAGGCAAAUCCGGCGGGCGCUAACCUGAGGCGUUAAGGCAGCGGGCCUAAGAACCCGUGGGUGGUUGACCCCAUACUGUCGAGAAAAGCUUCUAGUGAGAAUUUAGGUGCCCGUACUGCAAACCGACACAGGUAGUUGGGCAGAGAAUGCUAAGGCGACGAGGGAACCUCUCCUAAGGAACUCGGCAAAAUAACCCCGUAACUUCGGGAUAAGGGGUGCCCUGGCUGGUGUUAGAUCACGCGUUUUAAUGCUGGCUGGGGUCGAAGUGACCAGGCCCAAGCGACUGUUUAACAAAAACACAGGUCUCUGCUAAGCCGUAAGGCGAAGUAUAGGGGCUGACUCCUGCCCGGUGCCGGAAGGUUAAGAGGAGAUGUCAGCGCAAGCGAAGCAUUGAA